AACGAACGCUGCCGGCAUGCCAAAUACAUGCAAGAUGACCGAACAGAUGAAGUGCUUGCGCUUCUGAUGCUAGCGGCGAACGGGUGAGUAACAGGUAAGGAAUCUACCUAUAGGCGGGGGAUAACAUUCGGAAACGGGUGAUAAUACCGCAUAAUAUCUUCUUCCGCAUGGAAGAAGAUUGAAAGACGGCUCUGCUGUCACUUAUAGAUGACCUUGCGGUGCAUUAGUUAGUUGGUGGGGUAACGGCCUACCAAGACGAUGAUGCAUAGCCGACCUGAGAGGGUGAUCGGCCACAUUGGGACUGAGAAACGGCCCAAACUCCUACGGGAGGAAGCAGUAGGGAAUCUUCCGCAAUGGGCGAAAGCCUGACGGAGCAAUGCCGCGUGAGUGAAGAAGGCCUUCGGGUCGUAAAACUCUGUUAUAAGAGAAGAACAAAUUGUAGAGUAACUGCUACAGUCUUGACGGUAUCUUAUCAGAAAGCCACGGCUAACUACGUGCCAGCCGCCGCGGUAA
rnacentral:rRNA from 1 species